UACGGGGGAGCAAGCGUUGUUCGGAUUUACUGGGCGUAAAGGCGCGUAGGCGGCCACCGCAAGUCGGUUGUGAAAUCUCUGGGCUUAACCCAGAAAGGUCAACCGAUACUGCGGGGCUAGAGUGCAGAAGGGGCAACUGGAAUUCUCGGUGUAGCGGUGAAAUGCGUAGAUAUCGAGAGGAACACCUGCGGCGAAGGCGGGUGCUGGGCUGACACUGACGCUGAGCGCGAAGCUAGGGGAGCGAACGGG
rnacentral:rRNA from 1 species